UACGAAGGGGGGCUAGCGUUGCUCGGAAUUACUGGGCGUAAAGGGAGCGUAGGUGGACUGUUUAGUCAGAGGUGAAAGCCCAGGGCUCAACCUUGGAAUUGCCUUUGAUACUGGCAGUCUUGAGUACGGAAGAGGUAUGUGGAACUCCGAGUGUAGAGGUGAAAUUCGUAGAUAUUCGGAAGAACACCAGUGGCGAAGGCGACAUACUGGUCCGUUACUGACACUGAGGCUCGAAAGCGUGGGGAGCAAACAGGG
rnacentral:rRNA from 1 species